rnacentral:rRNA from 2 species
UUGACCUCGGAUCAGGUAGGAAUACCCGCUGAACUUACAACAGGGAUUGCCCUAGUAACGGCGAGUGAAGCGGCAACAGCUCAAAUUUGAAAUCUGGCUCUCGGGCCCGAGUUGUAAUUUGUAGAGGAUACUUUUGAUGCGGUGCCUUCCGAGUUCCCUGGAACGGGACGCCAUAGAGGGUGAGAGCCCCGUCUGGUUGGAUGCCAAAUCUCUGUAAAGUUCCUUCGACGAGUCGAGUAGUUUGGGAAUGCUGCUCUAAAUGGGAGGUAUAUGUCUUCUAAAGCUAAAUACCGGCCAGAGACCGAUAGCGCACAAGUAGAGUGAUCGAAAGAUGAAAAGCACUUUGAAAAGAGAGUUAAAAAGUACGUGAAAUUGUUGAAAGGGAAGCGUUUAUGACCAGACUUGGGCUUGGUUAAUCAUCUGGGGUUCUCCCCAGUGCACUUUUCCAGUCCAGGCCAGCAUCAGUUUUCCCCGGGGGAUAAAGACUUCGGGAAUGUGGCUCUCUUCGGGGAGUGUUAUAGCCCGUUGUGUAAUACCCUGGGGGGGACUGAGGUUCGCGCAUCUGCAAGGAUGCUGGCGUAAUGGUCAUCAACGA